rnacentral:rRNA from 1 species
GAGAUGGCCUCUCGCCCUAUUCAGUGUAACAGCUGUGGUAGUGGGUUUGGUCGCUCGCAUUUAAAUUGGAAGGGUAAUGGUGGACCGCACUUCUCCCUUAGUAGGACGUUGCGACCUGUCAAAUAAUAUCCUAAGUAUUUGGCUAAUUUGUCUGUUUUUAGGCAGUACUGAAAGGUAUUUCCUUUAACAGUUUUAGCCGUUUAGAUACUGGAUAUAAUUGACAGUAACGAAUCAUGGUGUUGAGCCACUUACUUUGUAAGUGUCCUUUAUGGCUGUUUGCAAGUGGGUUGGUUAAUUAGUUUUAGUCGGAUUUCGGUCCGUCUAACUAUUCCGCCUACUGUUGGUAAACUGUUCCUUGGACAGUGCUUAUAACACCGGUCGGCAGCGAUUCAGGUUCAGGCUCUUAUCCGACCC